rnacentral:tRNA from 1 species
GUCUGUAUAGAUUAUUUGAUAUAAAUCAUGAUGCUGUUAACUUCAAGAAGGUGUAUGCUACCUAUAGUCG